GAAUUUUGGACAAUGGGGGCAACCCUGAUCCAGCCAUCCCGCGUGUGCGAUGAAGGCCUUCGGGUUGUAAAGCACUUUUGGCAGGGAAGAAAAGGCCCUGGCUACUACCUGGAGCUGCUGACGGUACCUGCAGACUAAGCCCCGGCUAACUACGUGCCCGCAGCCGCGGUAAUACGUCGGGGGCAAGCGGUGAUCGGAAUUACUGGGCGGAAAGCGUGCGCAGGCGGUUAGGCAAGAAGGAUGUGAAAUCCCAGGGCUUAACCUUGGAACUGCAUACUUAACUGCCAGGCUAGAGUAUGUCAGGGGGGGGUAGAAUUCCACGUGUAGCAGUGAAAUGCGUAGAGAUGUGGAGGAAUACCGAUGGCGAAGGCAGCCCCCUGGGAUAAUACUGACGCUCAUGCACGAAAGCGUGGGGAGCAAACAG
rnacentral:rRNA from 1 species